GAUGAACGCUAGCGACAGGCUUAACACAUGCAAGUCGAGGGGCAGCACAGGUAGCAAUACCGGGUGGCGACCGGCGCACGGGUGAGUAACGCGUAUGCAACUUGCCUAUCAGAGGGGGAUAACCCGGCGAAAGUCGGACUAAUACCGCAUGAAGCAGGGGCCCCGCAUGGGGAUAUUUGCUAAAGAUUCAUCGCUGAUAGAUAGGCAUGCGUUCCAUUAGGCAGUUGGCGGGGUAACGGCCCACCAAACCGACGAUGGAUAGGGGUUCUGAGAGGAAGGUCCCCCACACUGGAACUGAGACACGGUCCAG
rnacentral:rRNA from 1 species